GUGGGGAAUUUUGGACAAUGGGCGCAAGCCUGAUCCAGCCAUGCCGCGUGCAGGAUGAAGGCCUUCGGGUUGUAAACUGCUUUUGUACGGAACGAAAAAGCUCUCUCUAAUACAGGGGGUGAAUGACGGUACCGUAAGAAUAAGCACCGGCUAACUACGUGCCAGCAGCCGCGGUAAUACGUAGGGUGCAAGCGUUAAUCGGAAUUACUGGGCGUAAAGCGUGCGCAGGCGGUUAUGUAAGAAAGAGGUGAAAUCCCCGGGCUCGACCUGGGAACUGCAUUUGUGACUGCAUAGCUGGAGUGCGGCAGAGGGGGAUGGAAUUCCGCGUGUAGCAGUGAAAUGCGUAGAUAUGCGGAGGAACACCGAUGGCGAAGGCAAUCCCCUGGGCCUGCACUGACGCUCAUGCACGAAAGCGUGGGGAGCAAACAGGAUUAGAAACCCGUGUAGUCC
rnacentral:rRNA from 1 species